GGGAUAGAACUCCAGGAGUAGCGGUGAAAUGCGUAGAUAUCUGGAGGAAUACCAAAGGCGAAGGCAGUCCCCUGGUCCGAUACUGACACUGAGGUACGAAAGCGUGGGGAGCAAACAGGAUUAGAUACCCUGGUAGUCCACGCCCUAAACGAUGUCGAUUAGCCAUUGGAAGGACCCCUUUUCCUUUCAGUGACGUAGCUAACGCGUUAAAUCGACCGCCUGGGAAGUACGACCGCAAGGUUAAAACUCAAAGGAAUUGACGGGGACCUGAACAAGCGGUGAAUGAUGUGGAUUAAUUCGAUGCUACGCGAAGAACCUUACCUACCUUUGACAUGGCCAAAGUUCUACCGAGAGGCGGAAGUACUCGUAAGAGGAUUGGCGCACAGGUGCUGCAUGGUUGUCGUCAGUUCGUGUCGUGAGAUGUUGGGUUCAGUCCCGCAACGAACGCAACCCUUAUCUUUAAUUGCUCCUAUUUUAACAGGCACUUUAAAGAAACUGCCAAUGAUAAGUUGGAGGAAGGUGGGGAUCACGUCAAGUCCGCAUGGCCUUUAUAGGUAGGGCUUCACACGUCAUACAAUGGUUAGAACAAAGAGCUGCAAAUUCGUAAGAAGGAGCCAAUCUCACAAACCUAACCUCAGUUCGAAUUGCGGUCUGCAACUCGAGCGCAUGAAGCCGGAAUCGCUAGUAAUCGUGGAUCAGAAUGCCACGGUGAAUACGUUCUUAGGUCUU
rnacentral:rRNA from 1 species